rnacentral:hammerhead_ribozyme from 1 species
AUCCAGCUGAUGAGUCCAAAAUAGGACGAAAUAUACGCGUUAUCCUGGAU